rnacentral:rRNA from 1 species
CAAUAGCGUAUAUUAAAGUUGUUGCGGUAAAAAAGCUCGUAGUUGGAUUUCUGUUGAGGACGACCGGUCCGUACCAUGUACGCGCAUCUGGUUCGGCCUCGGCAUCCUCUCGAUAGACGUUUCUGCGCUUGAUUGCGUGGAGCGGAUUUCGGGACUUUUACUUUGAGGAAAUUGGAGUGUUCACGGCAGGCUAACGCCAGAACAUAUUAGCAUGGAAUAAUACUAUAGGAUCUCGGUUCUAUUUUGUUGGUUUCUAGACCCGGGGUAAUGAUAAAUAGGGACAAUUGGGGGCAUUUGUAUCAACACGUCAGAGGUGGAAUUCUUGGAUUGUGUUGCGACAAACUACUGCGAAAGCAUUUGCCAAGGAUGUUUUCAUUG